rnacentral:piRNA from 1 species
UUACAGCAUAGCUAGAGGGUCAAAGCCAGU